rnacentral:rRNA from 1 species
UGCAGAAUCCCGUGAACCAUCGAGUCUUUGAACGCAAGUUGCGCCCGAGGGACCCUCCCGAGGGCACGCCUGCCUCAUGGGCGUUAGAAGCCCAUUCACGCUCGGUUGCCUAACGGCAGAGAUGCGGACAUUGGCCCUCCGAACCGCGAGGUGCGGUGGGCCUAAGUGUGCGGCCGUCGUAUGUGGCCGGGAGCGGCGAGUGGUGGGCUACUGCGCACGUCACCCCGAGCCCCGUACCGACGCAGGGCCUUUUUUGACCCCUAACGAGGAGCCUGCCGUUGCAGCUGGCGCUGCGCGGCGCCUUCGGACCGAUACCCCAGGUCAGGCGGGGCUACCCGCUGAGUUUAAGCAUAUAAAUAAGCGGAGGAGAAGAAACUUACAAGGAUUCCCCUAGUAACGGCGAGCGAACCGGGAGCAGCCCAGCCUUAGAAUCGCGGCGGCACUGCCGCCCGA